rnacentral:rRNA from 1 species
AUGACUACCGUUCCAGGGUCUCCGGUCUGGGAGCUUGUGAAGAAGAACAACUGCUUCUUGAUAAAACAGUUCGGCAACAGCAACGCCAAGGUGCGGUUCAGCAAGGAGCCCAACAACCUCUACAAUGUCCACUCCUACAAGUUCUCGAGUUUGGCGAAUAGCAAGACCGUGGUGGUCCAGCCAUCAGCGGGAGAGGACAAGGCAGUUGUCCUGUCCACGACCAAGACCAAGAAGCAGAACACCCCUACCAAGCUCCAGCACAAGACUCUGAUGCGCAAGGAGUUCCACAAGAUGGCCAAGUCUGUCAAGAAUCAGGUAUUACAACUUGUUGUUUUGAGAAGUCACUUUGUUCUGCAAGUCGGACAUAACUUCAGAAAAGUCUGA